rnacentral:rRNA from 1 species
CCUACGGGUGACUGCAGUGGGGAAUAUUGCACAAUGGGGGAAACCCUGAUGCAGCGACGCCGCGUGGAGGAAGAAGGUCUUCGGAUUGUAAACCCCUUUUAUCAGGGACGAUAAUGACGGUACCUGAAGAAAAAGCUCCGGCCAACUACGGUCCAGCCGCCGCGGUUAUACGUAGGGGGCGAGCGUUUUCCGGAAUUCCUGGGUGUAAAGGGAGCGUAGGCGGGACGGCAAGUCAGAUGUGAAAACCGGGGGCUCAACUUUCAGACUGCAUUUGAAACUGCUGUUCUUGAGUGACGUAGAGGUAAGCGGAAUUCCUGGUGUAGCGGUGAAAUGCGUAGAUAUUAGGAGGAACAUCGGUGGCGAAGGCGGCUUACUGGGCUUUUACUGACGCUGAGGCUCGAAAGCGUGGGGAGCGAACAGGAUUAGAUACCCUUGUAGUC